GAUGAACGCUGGCGGCGUGCCUAAUACAUGCAAGUCGAGCGAACGGACGAGAAGCUUGCUUCUCUGAUGUUAGCGGCGGACGGGUGAGUAACACGUGGAUAACCUACCUAUAAGACUGGGAUAACUUCGGGAAACCGGAGCUAAUACCGGAUAAUAUUUUGAACCGCAUGGUUCAAAAGUGAAAGACGGUCUUGCUGUCACUUAUAGAUGGAUCCGCGCUGCAUUAGCUAGUUGGUAAGGUAACGGCUUACCAAGGCAACGAUGCAUAGCCGACCUAAGAGGGUGAUCGGCCACACUGGAACUGAGGCACGGUCCAGACUCCUACGGGAGGCAGCAGUAGGGAAUCUUCCGCAAUGGGCGAAAGCCUGACGGAGCAACGCCGCGUGAGUGAUGAAGGUCUUCGGAUCGUAAAACUCUGUUAUUAGGGAAGAACAUAUGUGUAAGUAACUGUGCACAUCUUGACGGUACCUAAUCAGAAAGCCACGGCUAACUACGUG
rnacentral:rRNA from 1 species